CAGCCAGUUACUCCCGGAAGUGCUGGGACGGGUGGUGAGGGGCCCGGGCAGGUGGCGCGCCUUACAGCGGACGGUGUUCGUGCUGCUUUCUGUGCUGUAUUUUCUGAAAGCUUAAAUACAGACCAGAAGAGGAGUUUGGGGCUUGACACCUGACAUCUUAACACCAGUUCCUGUUUCUUGAGGAAGGAAGAGGUAAAAUAAAUCAGCGUUUACUGUGUAGUUCUCCAUCCCCAGAAGUCCUGAUGAAGACCCUCUCAGCUUCUACUUGAACGUGAAUAUGAGCAACUGAUCAUCUGUUCUGAAGUCAGCCCCUGGCCUGAUUCUGACUCAUGGUAUUGACCUUCUCCAUCAUCACCUUCCACAAAUUUGAUUCCUAUCUAUUCUGCCUGGAAUGGUUCACGAGUAUAAUCACCAUUUAUGUUCCUGACGAAAGCAGGUGAAGACAUUCGUUGAGAGAGGCAAUUUCCAUGCGUGCAGGCAAAGUGUGUGCUGAGAUGAUGAGUUGCUGGAGACCAGGGUGGACUCUUCAGACCCAGAAUAGGCCUCUGGCAGGCAUUCUAUCAGGCACUCCAAGCUGUGAAGUGCAUGGGGGGAGAAAGAAGAGAUUUCAGAGAAUGAACACAUACAGAGAGAGAGGCAAGAGAUGGUGAGUGGGGAUGUCUUGCAUACUGAUAUCCUGAGGAAAGUGGGAAAAUUGGACCCUGGCUUGCUCUGCCAAUGCCGUGAAGCAGUCCGCACCAGGGGCUCCCUUGUGCCUGCAUAGCCUUUCCCAGGGUGUGCUCAAAUCCUUUGGCCACUAGGUGUCCUAGGUCACAAUGGAGGACCCUGUGUCAUCUGCCUGGUGGACUGGAUCUCUGCCAUUGGCUAAGUCUUGUCACCAGGCCCAUCAUAAGCUCUGCCCACUCUUCCGGUGGGGAGACUCUCUCCAUGGUGAUGGCAAAGAAACCUUAGUCCCGCCCACCUGGCCUUGACUUCACCUACCUGGCCUGCUGACCCUCACCCAGACCUCUGUGUGGAUGAAAAUGAAUGUCCACCAGUGGCCCAGUGUCAGCGUCUGGUAUAAAGGAUUCGGGACGUUUCCUGAGGCAGAAGGCAGCCUACGUCUGCGGGUACCUGGAAGUCUAGUGACUUGUGAUGCUGCUGCCAGUGAGAAAUGGUGACUCCCACACUCACAUAUCCCCUGGUGGCAGAAUGAUAGUGAUGGGUGGAGAAACAUGGCUCCGGAGCACAUGUUCAGUGGGGCACCGGCCAAAUGUCAGGGCCAGGAGUGGACGUCGUGGAGCUGCAUGGCGUGCCAGUGAAGGGCCCAAGGAUUUCUCCAAUGAGGCAAAAUGCAGAUCAAGCCAAGGAACACAAAGAUAAAGCAGCUGAAGAAAUUAAAAAGGUUACUCAAGAACAUAGUUAAAAAUUUAAUAAGCUGCAAGAAACCAUAGAGAGACUGCAAUCAGAGAUUCAGAAGAUUAACAAUAAAAUUACAGAGUCAGAAAACUCAAUAGAAAGUAAUAAGAGCACAAUUGAGGAAUUGGAAGGCAGAAUUACUGAGAUGGAAGAUCAAACUCUUGGGACUAAUAUAUUUGAAGAGAAAGCAGAUAAAAGAAUUUUAAAUGAAGAAAUCCAAAGAAUCAUGUGGGACUUUAUCAAGAGAAAUAACUAUGAGUGAUUUCAGUACCAGAACAGGGAGGGCUAACAGAAAAUACAGAGGGAACUGUUGAAGAUUUGUUGGCAGAACUUCCCUGAUAUCAUGAAAGAUGCUCAUCGAAUUCCACAUACGGUAGAUCUCAAAAGAAAGUGACCGAGACACAUAAUAAUCAAACUUGCCAAAAUCAAAUAUAAAGAGAAUUUUAAGAGAGGCUAGGGAUAAAGGAAGUCACCAACAAAGGAGAGUAAAUAAUAAAAAACUUGGACUACUCAGCAGAAAUCAUGCAGGCAAGAAGGCAAAGGGAUGACUUACACAAAAUAUUGAAGGAAAAAAAUUGCCAGCCAGGAAUCAAACCAUAACCCUGGCCCUCUGGCCUUCGGGCCCUCUGGCCUUAGCCCUCUAACUCUAGCCCCUAAGCCCUGAGCCCCAAAGCCCCUAAGACCCUAAGCCCUUAGGUCCUAACCCCCAAGGCCCUAAACUCUAACCCUAACCCAAACCCUAACCCCUAUUCCCUAAACUCUACAACCUAAACACCUACACCCCAAAACACUACACAUCAAAACCCUACACACUAAACCCUAUACUCUAAGCCUCAAACCCUAAACCCAAACCUCAAAUCCCAAACCCCAAACCCUAAACCUAACCGUAAACCCUAAACCCUAACACCUAACCCUAACCCCUAACCACCCUAACCCUAAUGACCCUAACCCUCGAACCCUAACCCUCUAACGCUAACAUGAAACCCUAAUCCGAAACCCUAACCCUCUAACUCUAACCUCUAACCCUAACCCUCUAACCCUAGCCCUAAUCCUAACCCCAACCUCCAAACCUAACCCCAAACCCUAAACCUCAAAUCCCUAGCCCUAAACCUAAGAAUGAGCCUAAGCCUAACCCUAUCACUUAACUCUAAACCCUAAACCAUAACACUUAAAACCCUAACACCCUUAGCCCUAACACAUUUAACCCUAACACCCUAAACGCCAAAACCCUAAACACUAACACCCUUAACUCCAACCCCUAACCCCUAAACCCUAAGCUUAAACACUAAACCGUCUAACCCUCUAACCCUAAUACCCUAAACCCUAACCCCAGCCCCCAGCCUUAACGCUCACUCUAAGCCUUAAACCUUAAGCCCUAAACCCUAGGCUCUAAGCCCUAAGCCCUAAACUCUAAAUCCUAAAACCCUAAACUCUAAGCCCUAAGCCUAACCCUCUAAUCCUAAACCCUAAAACCUUACCCCAAACCCAUCCCAAACCCCUAAACCUGAACCCCUAAGCCCUAGCCCUAACCCUAAUCCUCUAAGCCUAACCCUCUAACCCUAACUCUCUAACCCUAACCACAACACCAACCCCAACCUCUGAACCCAAAAACCCUAACCCCCUAACCCCAAGCUUCUGAACCCUAAGCCUAAACCCUCUAACCCUAAAUCCUAACCUUCACCCCCUCACACCCUCACCUUCUCACUCCCUCACUCUAUAAUCUUCUCAACUUCUAACCCCCUCACCCUCUAACCCCUCACCCUCUAACUCCCUCAAUCUCUAACCCCCAACCCUCUAGACCCCAACCCUCUAACACCCACCCUCUAACCCCAAACCACAUAUCCCAAACAGACCCAACACCAACCCCAACCCUAAACCUAAACCCUGACCCCUAAAACCUAAACCAAACCCUAACGACUAAACCCCAAAACCCUAAACCCCAAACUGCAACCCCUAACACCUAACCUUAACUCCAAACUCUAACCUCAAACCCUAAACCUAACCCUAACACCUAACCCCAACCAAAAAACCCUAACCCUAAACUCUAACCCCAAACCCUAACGACCCUAACUCUAACAACCCUAACCUUAACAUCCCUAAGCCCAAACCCUAACCCUUUUUGUUAGCAGCCAUAGCACUUAACCACUAGCCACCAGGGUUUCCAUGAGCAGUCACAGGAAUAGACACAUGCACACCCGUGUUCACUGCAACAUUAUUCACAGUUGCAAAAAGAUGGAAACAACCUAAGUGCUCGUCCACAGAGGAAUGGAUAAACAAACUACGGUACAUACACAGUGGAACACUACACGACAAUAAAGACCAAUGAUGAAUCUCCGAAACAUCUCACACCAUGGAUGAAUCUGGGGCGCAUCACACUAAGUCAAUCACAAAACGUCAUAUACAGUAAGAGACCACUAUCAUAAAAACUCAUGAAAACAUUUACGCACAGAAACAAUCCUUGAUGUUCACCAGGGAGACGAAGAGCGGGUAGAGAAAAGCCAACUAAACAAUAACCAAAAAAACCAAA